GCCAUGUCACUCAAGAACCACCUAUCGCUCCGAGCGGCGAGGUCGAACGCAAAGCGUCGGAAGCGAAUGAAUCCAGGAGCGUUUAGGCUAAUUCGCUGCCGAGUUGGCCAUAUCGACUCUCGCAUUGAGCGCCUCAACAAUGAAUUUGCCGAAUCGAAAUCGUAUUAACGGUUGACUGACUUUAGGCCGUGCGGGCGACGCGAUAUGCGGUCAUUUGCUAGGCCUAUUGCCUUUUCGGCCGGUCCAAAAACAGCGAAACACCAUCUGACCUCUGAAACGCAGCAAUGAAACGCAAUCAAUCACACAGGCUAUAUUUACAUGACGUGCUUACCAUGUGAAAUACAGAGAGAGAGAGAGAGGGAGAGAGGGAACAUAAACGUGAUUAUGGGAAUGUUGCUUCGACUGCUGUUCACUGCGUGCUGGCAGAUGGCAAAGGGAGGAAUGCCGCCUGGCGGUAGUGCCUGAGCCUCGCAAUCGUUCCGGAUGAUAUAAAUUCACUACACUUGAUGGAGCUUAUUUGGUGUAUUGGAACCUAUUAAAUACUCUCAAAAAUUGCAAACCCCCGAACUAUGUCCCAUUUGUUUGGCUCAAUUGCACCAGACAAAAUUAAUCAAGCACAGAAAAGCAUUCGAAACCAUGUUUGACCCAGGUCCGAUGGGCCUUCUACGCAGUUAGCAACUCCUGCUUUAAGUAAAAUAACUUGAUUGCACUCACCUUCUUUGCGACAAGAGACCGGAGGCCUAGUAAAUAUUAUAGCCUAACAAGAUAUAGCUUGUUGAAAUGCUUCAUCGGACGUCAACACAACAAUUAACUCACAGUCUAUGAAGUAUAGCCAAGAAAAAAUCAUUUUAAGGUUCAAACAUGGAUGAAGGGCGUGAAGGCUUCGGGAAUGUUGCCGCCGGAAUUGAUCAAAAUAACCAACGGAAUUCUGAGGAUCUGCGACGCGAUUUUCCUCCCCCUACUUGGGAAACAGACUACGGGAGUCACGGGAAUAAGCGGACGUCUGAAAGAUGCGUCGCUGAUCGUGGGCGUUUCGGCAGGGCGAAUCCCGGUGACUGGAGAAAGGCGGGCGGUGCGACUGCGGUGUUCCUCCACAGCAUCGCCAGACUCGCCUGCAGCAGCAUGAUGCGAGCGCUGAGCCGGCCGCGACACUCCGCCUCCUGCAGCAAUCGGAACCUCCCGACAGGGAUGCAGGGAUGAAGAUCGUCUUCUUCUGUGGAGCAGACGAGGAAGACAAGAGUGGAUGAUGUCUCCGUUUUUCUGCUUAAAACAGAAAAAGAAAAAACAUUGCAACCCACAGGAGAGAGAGAGAGAAACUGAAACACGUGUCCAGCGAGCACUGUUUCCACUCUGGAGAAAUCUCUCAAAGGCUGGAGGGACUGUGUAUGCAUGUGUGUGGAAGAAUGGUAAAUGGUUGGCAUUUAUAUAGCGUCUUUAUCCCUGGCGCUGUACAAUUGAUGCUUCUCAUUCACCUAUUCACACACAUACCGACAUGCCAAGGCACCGACCGGCUCGUCAGGAGCGGUUAGGGGUUAGGCGUCUUUCUCAGGGACACUUCGACAUGCCAGGGUUGGAAUCGAACCGGCAACCCUCCGACUGCCAGACGAGCUUUCUGAGCCGAGGUCGGGUUAAUCGUGUGCAAUGUACAUCAGCCUAAAGCUGUCCCAGUCACCUGACUGCAGAAAGAAUGGCUGUUCAGUCUUUGCCUUGUGUGAUGUAGUGCACCAAGGUGCAAACCUGGUACUUGAAUUGCCCAUAUUAUGUAUUGCUUUGAAUGUGGCAUUUGCCUGAAAUGCUCCUCUUGCUGUAGAACUGGAUGCGCGCUGAAAUGGAUUUAGUGACUGUGCUCUGGCUAUAUCCUGUACUGUACCUGGACAUGCAUCGCCAGCUGCAACUGUCAGCAGGAAAAUGUGUCAGUCAUCUACCAUAAAAACCACUGCAGUGUCAGUCAUUUACCAUAAAAACCACUGCAGUGUCAGUCAUUUACCAUAAAAACCACUGCAGUGUCAGUCAUCUACCAUAAAAACCACUGCAGUGUCAGUCAUUUACCAUAAAAACCACUGCAGUGUCAGUCAUUUACCAUAAAAACCCACUGCAGUGUCAGUCAUUUACCAUAAAAACCACUGCAGUGUCAGUCAUUUACCAUAAAAACCACUGCAGUGUCAGUCAAUUACCAUAAAAACCCACUGCAGUGUCAGUCAUUUACCAUAAAAACCACUGCAGUGUCAGUCAUUUACCAUAAAAACCACUGCAGUGUCAGUCAAUUACCAUGUGGGAACAAUGAAUAACUGUUCGGUACAUAUUGUAUCAGAUAUGACACUGCUGAACUCGUGAAGUUAAUGUGAUCAAAGCUAUAUUUUUUUAAGCAUUGUGUAUGUUUUAUAUAAACAAAUUGGUUCAACUGGUGAUUUA